rnacentral:misc_RNA from 1 species
AAGACAGGUAUCCAUCCUAAACCUGUUCUUACUAAGGGCUGGCUUGAAUUUGCUCGCCGUGAGAAGCUCAAAGCUGGUGACAAGAUUGUUCUUCUUCUAGAAGAUGAUCAAGCUACUGCUGGAGUGGAGUUCAAGAUUGAGAUUCAGAAGAUACCAUUCAGGUUGUUUGGGAAGGAUAUAUGAGCAUGAAUGGACUGAAGUGCUUUUA